rnacentral:tRNA from 1 species
ACGUACCCCUGGUUCAUGCAGGACGGCCUGGUCUGCGGGGUCCGGCUGCGGCACGGGCGGGCGCUCUGGUUCCGCAACCGGUGGGUACGUUC